UCAUGAUGCCCAGUAAAUAGAUUAUGAGUGAUGAUGAAUUUCUUAGAAGAAAAAUCAGCAUUUCCUCGGACAGAGAACUAGACAAUCUACAUUUAAUUCCGAGCCUUGAGAGCUCUCAUACCAGCAGACACAUGGAUUUCCAGAAUCAAAGACCUGGCCUCUCAGAUCCACCACACCGAAGCUUCCAUAGGUCUCAGGAUGAUUCCAUGGGAAGCACCCGCAGGACUUGGACUGAAGAAAGUGAGUACCGUAGAAACCCAGAGGAGUCAGAUGAGGUACUGACGCCAGUAAAAAAGUUAAGGUACAAAGAUUCAGCAGAACUGAUGGAGAUGGGUAGCGAGAAACCCCCGAGGGGCCCGGCACGGGAGUACAGUGACCUACAUUUGGAGAGUAAUUUGAGGACUCCUAGGUAUGGAACACAUACAAGUUACAGUGACAUGAUGGACAGUGUUCAUGAACAGGACCCAUUCCACGGGGACUAUAAACCCUCAGGGAAAACCAAAAAGUCAAAGAGCAAAAAACACAAGAAGGAUAAGGAUAAAUCUCAAGAGGAGGAUCUAAGUCUCUCUGUGAAAGACCCACUGUCAAAAUCCUCCAGAAAACAAUCAAAGAAAGGAAGGAAGUCCGAGGUCACUGACAGUACAGGUACCUACACCAUUCAGGGAAUAACAAACAAAUCCUUCAGGGACUCGGGGCCUGUUGCAGAUACAAGUUCAGUGAAAAGUAAUGGAACAUACACACUGAAACAGGAGGAUAAUGUUGAUGGAUUGAGGCUGUCUAAGAAAGGUUCAGUUGGAUUUUCCAGAAAGAGAAGAACUAGACGAUCAACGGUCAAACUGGGGGCAUCCAGACUUAAUCAGAGGUCAUUCAGGGAGUUUGUUAUGAGGAACAGAAUAAUGAUCAGAGUUCCAUUACCAGUAGAUGAAUUGGAAACUACUUUACGAAAACAACAUACUCAUCUUCAUAAGCCAACAAAACAGGUUUGGCAUAUUCAAACCCACACCAAACCAGAGCCUACAGAUUCAUUUGGAUAUAUUAAUUUCCAAGGAUAUGGAAACGAGAUUGAAGCAUCUCCCUACCUUCGCUGUGAACCCGACACUAAACCCGAAAUUAUCUGGGAUAUGAUGAUUAACCAGUGGCACCUGGAGCCACCACAGCUGAUUAUCUCUGUCACAGGUGGUGCCCAGCGAUUCGACCUGAAGCGCAGAAUGCAAGAGACUUUCAAACGAGGUCUGAUGAAUGCAGCAACAUCAACUUGUGCUUGGAUCGUGACAGGUGGUACUAGAACAGGGGUGAUGGAGUUUGUGGGUGAUGCAGUCAAAGAUCACAUCAUCACCACCGGGCGUAAAAAUGAUGUAGUAGUCCUGGGGAUAGCUACGUGGGGUUGUGUCGCCAACAGGCAAGCCUUAGAUGGAGAGGAGGGACUAAAGACUGGCCUUUUCCCAGCUGUAUACUCUAAAACAGAUGUUAUGGAAGCCCGAUUGAUGAAUCCAAAGAACAUUCCUUUAGACGAGAAUCACUCCCACUUCCUCCUUAUAGACGAUGGAUCGGAGAAUAAAUUCGGGGCAGAGAUUGACUUCAGAACCAGACUGGAGAAGUACAUCUCUGAGCAGCAUGUGGACCCAUAUGACAAAGAAUCUUCUCUAACCAUCCCAGUUAUUUCUAUAAUUGUUGAGGGAGGGAUAAACUCAAUGAAGACGGUGUGGCAGGCUGUAACUAGAGGGAUCCCUGUCCUUGUCCUACAGUCAUCAGGGAGGGCCGCCGAUUAUAUAGCACACGGCUAUAACAUAACAGCCAGCAAGCUCAGUGAAGAGAAAAGCUACUUUCCCAAAGAUUUUGAUGAAGAAAUGGAGAACCUAGCAAACAUAAUAUUUGAAUGGAAAGAGAAAGACAUGCCAAGAAAACCUGCUUUGAUAGCUAACUGUUUAAAACAGCUGAGAGAAGCUCUGGAGAACAGGGAAAUGUUGACUGUCUUUGAUCUGAAUGACUAUGAAACAAAAGAUUUUGACCGAGCCAUCUUGUAUGCCCUGUUGAAAGCAAACAGAUCCAACACCAAUGCCCAGCUUAGUUUGGCUUUGGCCUGGAAUCGAUCAGACAUAGCUAAAAAUGAGAUCUUCACGGCUUCUAACAAGACAAAUUACCAGGAGCUGAAGUUAGAUGAUGCCAUGAUGACAGCCCUUAUACAGGACCGACUAGAAUUUGUCAAACUCUUCCUAGAAAACGGAAUUGAUCUGACUCAAUUCCUCGACAUCAGAAAUCUGUGGAACCUCUACUCUAAUUGUUUCAAUGACAAAACAGAUGGAGCUGCACAAUUGUUGAUGAACAGAAUAAACUAUCUUAGGCAAACCUGGGGUGCAUAUUUGUGCUGUAAGCAAACAGAAGAUAUUGGGGUAGAACCAGAUUUACUGAAUUACAUAGGGAAAGUCAUAGUUCAUCUCCUUGGUGAUGAGGCCAUGAAUCUUUAUGCAGGAAAUCAGUAUGAUGUUCACAAUGAAGAGGUUGUGUUUGGAUACAUUCCCAAAGCAGAGAAUGCUUGUGAAGAGUACUUGAGUGGUAAGAAUCUGAGUAAGAAAAAGUCCAGGAUCUUCCAAGAGUUCCAGUUUAAGAACCCCGCUAGAGACCUGUUUAUCUGGGCUGUUCUGAUGAACCGAAUGAGUCUGGCAAAGCUUUUCUGGAAGAUCGGAAAAGAUCACAUAGGGUCUGCUCUGUUUGCUAGCUGUCUGUUGAAGGAGCUAUCUAAAGUUGCUGAUGAUGAAGAAGAAGUGGAACUCAGUGUCUCUCUGGAGCAUAACUCCAUGGAGUUUGAGAAACUAGCCUCAGAAAUCUUAGGAAUUUGUUCCAUCCAGAACCGUGAUCUAGCUCACCAACUCCUUGUAAGAGAACUGAGCGAGUUUGGAAACACGACCCUGUUUUGUUUGGCUGAUGAGAAUGUUCUUAUGGAUUUCAUGGGCCAGACAUGUUGUCAGACCAAGCUCAAUGCCAUCUGGAAGGGUCGCAUGGCUCUCUACACUUCAAGCAUAAAGAUUGUAGCUUCAAUAUGCCUUCCAUUCCUGAUUCCUGCCAUUAAGUUUGUGGACAAGAAAAGAAUGGUCCAUGAAGAUGAAUAUGAUGACUUGGCACCACUUCAUCCCACCACUAAAGAGAUGAUCACAGAACAGGAGGCACCACUCAGCAAUAGAGAGGCUUCAGAAGGGUCACCAGGGGGUACUGGUGGAAAAGUGGCCCCCGUCCCAGAAUCCAAAACAAAAAUACUCAAACGAAAGUUUAAAACUGUGAGCUUGUUUGGUGGUAGUAAGGAAGGCGGGGAGGAUAUCAAUUUGUUCCGGGCCAUUUACUACUUCUACACAGCACCAGUCACUAAAUUCACUACAGCAAUGUUUGCCAAUAUCUUGUUCCUGGGGCUGUUCUCUUUGUUUGUGUUGACGGACCUGUACCCUAUCAGUGUCAGUGCCCCCUCCAUCCCAGAGUACCUCACCUGGGCCUACACAGUCACCAGUGCUAUAGAAGAAGGCAGACAGGUUUUAACCAGGGACCAGCGGUCGCUUCUGUAUAAAAUCAGGAGUUGGUACGGCAGUGUGUGGAACCGUUUCGACUUCAUCAUGUACAUAACCUUCCUGACCUCUGUAAUCCUGAGGUUUUCCCUGGAUGGGGAGGACUUUAUGUGGGCUCGUAUGUUGUACAGUCUUACUCUGGCCAUGUACUUUAUUCGCUUCAUGCACUACUUCUAUGCAGAGAAAAAUAUUGGACCCAAAGUCAUCAUGAUAUCUAGAAUGUUGACAGAUCUGAUGUUUUUCCUGUUAAUCUUGUUGGUAUUUAUCCUGAGUUUCGGUGUUGCAUACCAUGCCAACCUGUAUCCUAACUCCCCUCAAGAGUGGGUCCUCCUGAAAGAUGUGGUGUAUCACCCAUACUGGCAGAUGUAUGGAGAACUGUUCCUAGAAAACAAAGAAGGAGCUGACCCCUCAGCAGAAGCUGGGACCUGUACUAACAAUGAGACACUCUGGAGGUCAGGGGACAUGGAUCGUUGUCCAGAGAAGAAUGCCCUUGUCGUGUUGUUGAUGGUCAUCUACAUGCUGUUGACCAACAUACUUCUAGUCAACCUGUUGAUUGCUAUGUUUAGUGACACCUUUCAGAAGGUUCAGGACAACUCGGAGAAGGUAUGGCGGUACCACAGGUACUCCCUGGUGUACGAGUUUUAUGAGCGUCCGGCUCUGUUUCCCCCGCUCAUCAUCUUCAAUCACGUGUUCCGUGUAAUCAGGUGGUUCAUCAACAAAUGUAACAACAGAUGUUGUCAGAACGGAAUCCGCACCAGAAACAGCUUCAAGUUGAAGCUUAGUGAGAAGGACUUGAUCAGGCUGUCUCUGUUUGAACGAGGAGCAAUGGAGGAACAUCAGCAUUCAGUGUUCUCUCUAGAGAAUGACAAGAUUGACAAGAAAAUAGAGACCACCUCAGAAAGGCUUGACAGAGUAAUAGAAGAACUUGACAACAUAAAAGACAAUGUGAUGGCCAAGGAGAAGAUGAUGGGAGGAGACUCUCCCGCCACAGCUAGAUCCACCACUAUGUCCAACAUAGACCCAGAAAUCUACUCAUCCAGGAAAACUCACUCCCAGUUGGAGGUGGAAGUGGACCAGUUAUCAAAUUUUGUUCGGGAAAACAUGCAUGAUCUGAAUGCUUCAAUAAGACGACUGGAAAAACUCAUAUUAGCCUCCACAAAACAGAAGCAACAAGCUCUGGACAUUUCACAUAUACAGUCAACAGAAAGUUAAAAGAUUAAUUUAUCAUCUCAUUUGGGCAUUAGCAUUUGUGAAAAAUGGUCGUUAUCUGAUAGGCCUAUGUUGGGUUGUAAAUAUACCCUCCAUAUGAAUGAAGGAUCAAUAUCUUUUUUAGCUCACCUGAGCCGAAGGCUCAAGUGAGCUAUUCUGAUCAAAAUUUGUCCGUCGUCUGUCGUUGUCGUUGGCGUUGUUGUUGUUGUUGUUGUCGUCGUUGUAAACUUUUCACAUUUUCGACUUCUUCUCAAGAACCGCUGGACCAAUUUCAACCAAACUUGCUACAAAGUAUCCUUGGGUGAAGGGGAUUCAAGUUUGGCCAAGCCCUCUUGCAAGGGGAGAUAAUUAUGAAUUAAUGAAAAAUUAAUUGCAUCUUUUAAAAAUCUUCUGCUCCAGAACCACUUCGCCAGGAAAGAUGAAACUCGUGUGGAAGCAUCCUCAGGUAGUGUAGAUUCAAGUUUGUUCAAAUCAUGACCCCCAGGGUUAGGGCGGGGCCACAAUGGGUGAUAAGAGUUUUACAUAGGGGUAUAUAGGGAAAAUCUUUAAAAAUCUUCUUCUCCAGAACCACUGUGCCAGGAAAGAUGAAACUCAUGUGGAAGCAUCCUCAGGUAGUGUAGAUUCAAUUUUAUACAAAUCAUGAUCCCCGGGGGUAGGGCGGGGCCACAAUGG